GAUGAACGCUGGCGGCGUGCUUAACACAUGCAAGUCGAACGGGAAAUAUUUCAUUGAGACUUCGGUGGAUUUGAUUUAUUUCUAGUGGCGGACGGGUGAGUAACGCGUGGGUAACCUGCCUUAUACAGGGGGAUAACAGUCAGAAAUGGCUGCUAAUACCGCAUAAGCGCACAGAGCUGCAUGGCUCAGUGUGAAAAACUCCGGUGGUAUAAGAUGGACCCGCGUUGGAUUAGCUAGUUGGUGGGGUAACGGCCCACCAAGGCGACAAGCCAUAGCCGGCAAGUGAGGGUGAACGGACACAUUUGGACUGGGCCACAGCCCGGACUCCUACGGGAGGCAGCAAUGCGGAAUAUAGCACAAUGGGGGGAACCAUGAAGCAGCUACGCCGGGUGAAGGAAGAAGUAACUCAAUAUGUAAACUUCUAUCAGCAGGGAAGAUAGUGACGGUACCUGACUAAGAAGCCCCGGCUAACUACGUG
rnacentral:rRNA from 1 species